GGAUGGUCAGCAUGGUCAAACUUCAGUGAACAUUGUAGUGGUAGUUGUGGUCAAGGUUUACGGCUCAGAACGCGCACCUGCUCUGAGCCACAUCCUCAAUAUGGGGGUCAGGACUGUUCAGGAAACUCAACGGAAGGCAUACUUUGCAACCUCACAGCGUGUCCAGUUGAUGGAAUUUGGGGUCAUUGAGGUCGCUUCCGGCCUUGUGACAUGUCAUGUGGUGGAGGAAUACAUAUCAGAGUAAGGGAAUGUAAAAAUCCGCCACCUUCUCAUGGAGGACUACCGUGUCCUGGCAAGGACCUGGAAUCUGAGGCAUGUAACAUACAGCCGUGCCCAGAUCACAUGAAAUCUACAACUUCCUCAGCAAC